CCCCGGGGCCGGCCGGGGGAGGGGGGAGUGGGGCCACCGAGCGGGGACUUCCGCUCUCCCUGCUCCUCCUCCAAGGCCCCUGUCACUGACCCCUGAGUCCCUGGGGCAGGGCAGACACCGUGGCUUUGUGCUGGGACUUCUUUCGGGUCUGACAGAUCCACCCUGGCCUCUAAUCCCCUCAAUGGCUAAAGAGAUGGCGUGCUUUUCAAAGCCGGGAGGCCUGUGCCAGGAGCCCAGGACAGUGCCGCGUUAGUCAAGAACAGCAGUUGCUUUUUCUUUAAUGUGCAUUUGUAAGACUGGAAGGCAGGGCAAGAGCGAUUCCUUUUUUUUUUUUUUUUAAACAAAAAAGGAAACAGACACCUCGGAGAGAUAGAGCUCAAACACAGGGCUGGUAAAGUCCGCCAACUCCCCUGUCACCAUGGGGUGUCUCCAGUGCUCCUUGACUAGCCAAGAAGUUGGGAACCCCAGACACUGGGAGUUUGGAACGGCUCCCGGGUUCACUGUGGGGCCUUGGGCAGGUUACCCCUCUGCUUGAUUUCUUCUGAAAUCGAGGAGGGUAAACUUGUACGGCUCCUAAGUUCUCACACAGCCACUUGGAAUCCAAGGGACUGGUUGUCACCCAGCAGAUCUGGGAGACCCAGCCUAGGACUGCAUGAGAGGCUUCAGCAACUGCGGCCGAUCACGAGCAGGAAGAAGAUUCUUCCUUGUCCUUCCUAGCCAGCUCCAGGAGGUCUGCCGUUUAUCGCCCCUCCUCUCCGACCUGAAGACCCAAUAAUCCAGUUUCCUGUUACUACCUGAACAUUCAGUAGGCAUCUCAGACUUCAUUCGCUCAACUUCAAAACCCUUAUCGUCAUACUCAACUUCCCUCCUUACAGGAUAAUUUUGCCUUAGCAACACACUGUUUUGCCUUCGGAGUAAGUCCAGAGUCUACUGUUCCCAUGCUGAUCUCCAACUGGAUAAACAACUGAGGAUGACUUCAAGCUUCUGACCCUCCUGCCUCUCCCUCCUAAGUGCUGGGAUUGCAGGCGUGCAUCACCACAGCGCUGGGGAUGCAGAGCAUUAUGAAUGCUAGGCGAGUAUGAUCGGCUCCAGUCCCAGCCACAAGGUUUUCUUGAUGGAGUACUGCAAUCCCUCAACCUGUCCUUGUUUGUGCCUUCUUGCUCACCUAAUCAGCCUCCAUAGAGCAGUGAGCAGUUCUGAAGUUGAAGUCAGAAAAUGUUUGUCUUCUGUUUGAGAUUCUCCAGCAGAUACUCCUGCCCCUCAGCGUCCACAGCAGGAGGUCCAUGUCCCUUGCUCUGUUCUCCUUUCUCCAGUAGCAAUUAUGGUUACACAGCAUGCUGCAUAUAUACACAUUGAAUUCUUGGCUUCUUCCUUCUAAUGCAGGUGCCAUGAAGACAACAGCUUUGAUUGCCGUUUUUUUCUCCUUAAGGUGGGGUCUUAUGUGUCCAAUGCUGCCUCUAACUCUAUGUAACUGAGGUUGACCUUAAGCCUCUGAUCCUCCUCCUGUCUCUAUCUUCCUAGUAACUGGGAUCUCAAGUGUGCACCACGAUGUUUAGUUUCUGGGUGCUGGUGAUUGAAUCCAGGCUUUAGUGCAUGCUGGGCCAGCCCUCUGCCAUCUGAACCACACCCCCAGCCCAACAUAAGAGGCUUUGAAAUAAAUCUCACUCUCAACCUCACAGGAUUCAUACAAGGGGUUCUAAGGAAGUGCCUGUUGUUGGGGUGAGCUGGCCACUUGUCCCGGCUGAAGCGUACUUUCCUCACGUACAUAAAUGAAUUGGCCUCCAUGUCAGUUGCCUUCUGCUCGGAGAGUCUCAUAGUUGCAGAAGGUUGUGACUUGGGAAGUGGCAGAGCAAAGCUAAGGUCUUGCUCAGCUCUUUGCCCUGUGGAACAAUAGAGACUUCUCCCAGGAAGGUUGUAACUUAGUCCACAGGGCCUGCCAUCCAUCAAUCCCUCCAUCUGUCAUCCACCCAUCCACCUAUCCAUCCAUUUACCC